rnacentral:rRNA from 1 species
UUGACCUCGGAUCAGGUAGGAAUACCCGCUGAACUUAAGCAUAUCAAUAAGCGGAAGGAAAA